AGAAAGGUCAAGGAGACUGCACUGAGG
rnacentral:piRNA from 1 species